rnacentral:rRNA from 1 species
CACGUAGGGUGCGAGCGUUGUCCGGAAUUAUUGGGCGUAAAGAGCUCGUAGGCGGUGUGUCGCGUCGGCCGUGAAAACCUGCAGCUUAACUGUGGGCGUGCGGUCGAUACGGGCAUCACUGGAGUUCGGCAGGGGAGACUGGAAUUCCUGGUGUAGCGGUGAAAUGCGCAGAUAUCAGGAAGAACACCCGUGGCUAAGGCGGCUCUCUAGUACGUGACUGACGCUGAGACGCGAAAGCGUGGGGAGCGAACAGG